UCACACCACAGGAAAGACCUUCUAAAAUGGCUGUUUGCUGAUGCUCAGGGUCAAAAUCAAUGCAAUCCCUGACACAGGAUUGAACUUCAGGGGGAUUUUCAGACCAACCAAUCGCCUGGUUGUUUUUGUGUUGUUUCAGGUCGUCUUCUGAACAUUGUUGUCUUCCUCACACUGUUUGGGAACCUCUGUUUUGGUGAGUUACUUUCAGAUCUUUCUUGUUCAUUGGUUCCAAUUUCAGGAUUUGAAAAAAGGUGUAUGACUUCAUUUUUGACUAACAAUUUGCACUUCACUACCCUGUGGCUUACAUAAGUAUGCACCCCUUUCCGAAAAUGUUAUUAAAACAGAUGUUGUGUACACAUUGUUUAGAAGGUAAUAAGUGUCCUGUUUUGAUUUUCAGGUUUAUUUUGCUACCUCUGCUACCUUCAUGCAGACCCUUGCAGUUGUCUGCAAUACGUUUCGUGGCUACAUUUGUUUGGCUGAUGUUAGGAGGUGAUGCUCUUGCCCAAUUUGAAUUCCAACAAUGCUCUUUUAAUGCAAUUAAAUUCUGUUUUAUUACCUGCCAAGUUUGGUACCAGUGUGUACCGUAGAGGGUGCUAGCACAGUCAGGAUAAAGAACUUCGCUCAGAGAUGUAGGGAUCUGAGAUUCAAAUCGAUAACUACUAUCAAGAGUCCUGCCUUAACCAUCUCUGCCUUGUCUCAGUGGUUCUCUAAUCCAGUAACAAUAUAACAGAAUUUGAUCUAUUUCACCUUCAUGUAUAAUUUAUUGUAAUAGUCCUCCUAAUGUGGUCUAUUUUCCUUGCAGGUUUCGAAGUUUGUUCCGGGAGACCUGCGGCAUUAGAGUUUAAUGUAUCUGGCCCUGUGGAGGGACUUAUCAGUAUUUACCAUGACACUGAAAAGUUACCGGUGUAUUCUAACAAAUCUGUGCCCCAGGAAUGCCCUGCAAAAAUGCUGGAAAGCAAAUUGUUGUGCUGGUCUUCGUUUGGCAGGACCUUGCUUUUUUACAGAUCGAAUGUCUCGGAGGGCGACCGAGGCCGAUAUGAUCUGGAAUAUGACACCCUGCACAGGAGAGGACAGAGUUCCACCAAUAAACUGACUGUGCUGAAAAAUUGUACCUCACAAAGGACCACCACUCUUCCGGGUAAGUCAGUGCUCUGCAAAUGUUUGGGCCAUAUUCAGCCCUUGCACAACAAUUUGAGACAGAAAACAGACUUUGUUGUUGUGGACACAUACUAUCAGAAUGAUUCAAACAUUAAAAUUAAAUUAGAUUCAAAGAUCUUGUAG
rnacentral:lncRNA from 1 species